AUUGAACGCUGGCGGCAUGCCUUACACAUGCAAGUCGAACGGUAACAGGUCUUCGGAUGCUGACGAGUGGCGAACGGGUGAGUAAUACAUCGGAACGUGCCUAGUAGCGGGGGAUAACUACUCGAAAGAGUGGCUAAUACCGCAUGAGAUCUACGGAUGAAAGCAGGGGAUCGCAAGACCUUGUGCUACUAGAGCGGCCGAUGGCAGAUUAGGGAGUUGGUGGGAUAAAAGCUUACCAAGCUGACGAUCUGUAGCUGGUCUGAGAGGACGAUCGACCACACUGGGACUGAGACACGGCACAAACACGUACGGGAGGCAGCGGUGGGGAAUUUUGGGCGAUGGGCGCAAGCCUGAUCCAGCAAUGCCGCGUGCAGGAUGAAGGCCUUCGGGUUGUAAACUGCUUAUGUACGGAACGAAAAACCCUGGGUUAAUACCCUGGGGUAAUGACGGUACCGUAAGAAUAAGCACCGGCUAACUACGUGCCAGCCGCCGCAGUAAAAC
rnacentral:rRNA from 1 species